rnacentral:ncRNA from 2 species
GACGAAUCUAUUGCCUGCCAAGCCCAUGCAUUACCGUGCAUGGGGGAGGGCAGCGAAAAGAGGAAUCU